AGUAAACGCUGGCGGCAUGGCUCAGACAUGCAAGUCGAACGAUCGUAAGAUAGUGGCGAACGGGUGCGUAACACGUGAGCAACCUGCCUUAAAGUGGGGGAUAGCCCAGGGAAACUUGGAUUAAUACCGCAUGUGGUCCUCUCUUGCAUGAGAGAGGUACUAAAGCUUGCAAUGGCGCUUUAAGAGGGGCUCGCGGCCUAUCAGCUUGUUGGUAAGGUAAUGGCUUACCAAGGCUAAGACGGGUAGCUGGUCUGAGAGGAUGAUCAGCCACACUGGGACUGAGACACGGCCCAGACACCUACGGGUGGCAGCAGUUUCGAAUCAUUGGCUAAUGCGCGAAAGCGUGACCAUGCAAUGCCGCGUGGGGGAUGACGGUCUUCGGAUUGUAAACCCCUGUCAACAAGGAAUAAAACUACGUGAAGAGCGUACUUGAACUAACUUGUAGAGGAAGAGGUGGCUAACUCCG
rnacentral:rRNA from 1 species